GAUGAACGCUAGCGGCAGGCUUAACACAUGCAAGUCGAGGGGUAUAGGAAGCUUGCUUCCUAGAGACCGGCGCACGGGUGCGUAACGCGUAUGCAAUCUACCUUUUGCAGAGGGAUAGCCCAGAGAAAUUUGGAUUAAUACCUCAUAGUAUGUGAGAAUGGCAUCAUUUUCACACUAAAGUCACAACGGCAAAAGAUGAGCAUGCGUCCCAUUAGCUUGUUGGUAAGGUAACGGCUUACCAAGGCAACGAUGGGUAGGGGUCCUGAGAGGGAGAUCCCCCACACUGGUACUGAGACACGGACCAGACUCCUACGGGAGGCAGCAGUGAGGAAUAUUGGACAAUGGGCGCAAGCCUGAUCCAGCCAUGCCGCGUGCGGGAUGACGGUCCUAUGGAUUGAAACUGCUUUUGUACAGGAAGAAACACGUGGUUCGUGAACCAGCUUGACGGUACUGUAAGAAUAAGGAUCGGCU
rnacentral:rRNA from 1 species